GAGAUCAUGUGUAUGGAGCACUCUAGGGAGUAGAGAAAUGGAGCUGGGAAUGUAACUUGUUUCUUUUUUUGUUAUUAAGCAGUUAACUUUAUUAUAGAUAUAGGCAGAGAGAGACGGAGUCCCACAUGUCCAGGAGCUAUUUGAAGCAAUGAAGAUGCUCUUGUGUUAGAUGAGAUGCUUGAUACUGCAGUGCUUCAAGAAUAAGGUUCCGUUUCUGUGUUAAAGCAGCAAGUGGAAUAUCAGAAACGAUCAGGGAACAGCAAACGAUGAAGAGAAGACAUUUUAAAGGGUGCUGUCACACCCCAUGUUCACAUGUCCUUGGGUCCAUCAGUACUGCAACUGGACUUCUGUUGGAGCUGCAGGGCAACCCUCAGCUUCUCCUCACCCAGUGCAGCCAGGGAUGCUCCAGAUACAGAUGCUCCUGGGAUACAGGGCUGAAUUUGUUUUGGUUUUGCCUAAGGCUGCCUUUCUACCAGAAGAGCUUCCCCUGACCUGUGUCUGCUGGAGUCCAGGCUGUGGUGGGGAGAACAGAGAGCUGCACACCAAACUAGUUGGAGUCCUCACAGGUAGAGCCUGGCCCAGGCACACUGCAGUGUGAGCCCAGCGCUCCUCCUGCCAGCUGUCAUAGAAGGUUUCCACCAGCAUCACCGCAUGUGCUAAUCAACCAGGAGAGCAGAGCACAGAGCCAGCAGGAGCCGGGAGGGUGAUGACCACUGCCCUGCAUCCCCCUACAUCAGACUAAGGAUGCUGGAUCUGAGGUUGUGGCUUAAAGAACUGCUUGGAGAAAGUUUGACUCCAGGGGACACAGCAAAACCACUGAAAAACCACCCAGCGAGUGCCAUUAGCGCAGCACUUAAUGAUGGCAGAUGAGGCUUUCUGGAAGCUUAAUGAACCAGGAGGUGAGACCACUCCCACCAGCCUUGCAGCCUAACGAAGGAUUUAUCUCUGCCUCUUCUUAUCUCACUGAAUGAUGAAAGCUGUGUUCACCGCCAUCUAUCUUCAGCUUUCUGUAGCCAGGCACUGACUGCAGCCCCAGCAGGGGGGGGAUCAGGGCUGGGGUUGUCUUUCUGGAUGUCACUGCUGCAGCUUCUGCUGAGGUGUGGUGCCAACCUGUCUGCUGUCCUGGUACCAGUGUGCCUGAUCUUCUGCUUUGGCAACGCACCUGAUUUUUAGUGGAAGUUGGAGGUUUGGUGCCAGGACAUUCCUUACCAAACAUCUGAGCAGCUUGCCAUCUCUGCUCGCCCACCUUGGCACAGGUGUAAGGCAUCAGCUUCUGGAUAUAGCUAAAGAUUUUGGGCAAAAGUGACACCAACUAAACCCCCUGCAUCUGGGAUAUCUAUAAAUAUAUUGUUGUGUUAUUGGGGAUGGUGUAUUUUGCAGGAGCUGAGCGAGGGAGGAAUUUUGAACCAGCCCGGUGGCAGCUUGGCAGGUCAUUUUCUAUUCUACGUGUGUGAGCCAUGAAGGGCAUUAGCUAAAUAAGAGAUGAUUUAGUGGUGAUGGCACUAUUGGGCCACAGAUCCCACAGCUGCUAAAUUUCAAUAUAAACUCCAUAACUCUGGAUGCAGAAAGAACUGAACACGCACAAGAGACUGUUUCUGAAUAUAUUUUCCCCCUCUCUCUCCAAUAAAAGGCACAAAUAAUAGCAUAUUUUUCAAAGUGCAAAGCAUUUUACAUUGCAAAUAGUUACAUUAAAUUUACAUUUCAUGGGUGAGUGGCUGUAGCUGCUGCUUGCCACAUCCUCACCAGUGCUGUGGCAGCAGUUGCAGAUGAUCUCCCACCCCAUUGGGCUCCAUGUGCCUGGAUUUCCUGGGCCGGAGGCUGAUAGCAGAGUCCUGCCACAGCAGCAAUCAUCCAGGAUCUGGGUGCUUCCUCCAUAAAGGUCAGUGCACUCGCUGUGCCUGUUUUCUCCAGAGAUAAUCAAUGCGAUGCAGACACUCUGCUGACAGUUAUGGCCACUAUGGAAAACUCAUUUUCAGCCUUUAGCAUUGGGUCGGUAGAACCAUUCUAAUAAACUCCAUUGGGAGCUCGCAGGUUGGAGCCGUUCUGGCAACCUGAUGGUCUUCCCCUCUGGUGUCAGAAAGUGCUGAUCGAGGCAGAAGGGCGAUGGGAGCAGGGAGCAGCUGGCAUUUCACAGGACAGGUGGUGCUGGGAGCUCAGUGCCCCUUUGCUGCCUCUCACUGUGAUAAGAGCUUUUUUUUCCUUUCUCUUAUCUGCAACAAGCUUGAUGACAUUUCUGGUCAGUCCCUAUCGUGACCUUUCCACUCAGCACGUUGGUUUAUGCCUUGUCUCAAGGUUCAUUGUUUGCCAUGUGUAUCUGUGUUGGUUUUGGCACCUGCCAGCACAGGGAAUGCAUGUGAGUCAAUUUUUACCUGGCGGGGGUGAUUCCUCAUUAGUCAUCAUGCUGCCAUUUUCCCUCCUGGCAGCCUUGAAGUCCUGCCCUAUGUGGAGCUGGACUGAGCUACAGUGGGCAUCUGUGGGACACUGAGGUGACACGAGUGGCCCACACCUCUGUUGUAUUCCCCAGCAUAGGAUAAACAUUCUUCCCUAUAACAUUCAUCCUUCUAUGGCUUCAUGGCUUGAAAAGCCAUAACAGUUUGCCAGGCUAUGCAGCAGCCGUGACUUUGCUAGUGCAAAGAUGUAGCUGCAGCCCUGUGCACGGCUGCCUUUUGCUUUUUUGCCCUUUUGCAUUUAUUGGCAGGCUGCCCCAUCCCCGCGAGCAGCAGCUCAGCAACACGGAGCCAUGCAGCAACACGGAGCCAUGCAGCAACACGGAGCCAUGCAGCAACACGGAGCCAUGCAGCAACACGGAGCCAUGCAGCAACACGGAGCCAUGCAGCAACACGGAGCCAUGCACACGGCAUGCAGCCACGCACUGCAACACAGAGCUGUGCACCGCGGCACGGGGCUGUGCCACAUCGCCGGGCCUGACUCCUGCCCUCAGGAUGUUACUUUCCAGAAUGGUGCCUCUCUGAGAGUCUCAAGUAGCUCCUUAAUAAACUAG